rnacentral:rRNA from 1 species
CCUGACGCAGCAACGCCGCGUGAGUGAAGAAGGCCUUUGGGUCGUAAAGCUCUGUCAACUGGGAAGAAGUUGUAUAGAUCUAAUAGGUAUAUACAUUGACGGUACCAGUGGAGGAAGCGUCGGCUAACUCCGUGCCAGCAGCCGCGGUAACACGGGGGACGCAAGCGUUAUUCGGAAUUAUUGGGCGUAAAGGGCGUGUAGGCGGUCUUAUCGGUCAGAUGUGAAAGCCCAGGGCUCAACCCUGGACGUGCAUUUGAAACAGUAAGACUUGAGUACUGGAGAGGAAAGCGGAAUUCCUGGUGUAGAGGUGAAAUUCGUAGAUAUCAGGAGGAACACCGAUGGCGAAGGCAGCUUUCUGGACAGAAACUGACGCUGAUGCGCGAAGGCGUGGGUAGCGAACAGGAUUAGAUACCCUGGUAGUCCACGCAGUAAACGAUGUACACUAGGUGUAGGAGAUAUUAAAAUUUUCUGUGCCGGAGUUAACGCAUUAAGUGUACCGCCUGGGGAGUACGGUCGCAAGUCUAAAACUCAAAUGAAUUGACGG